CCCUUGGGAGUCGGGCUACGCGAAAGAGUCCCCCUCCCUCCCUUCUCUUCUCCUGCCUUGCUGCCCUCCAGCUGAGGCCCUUGGAGGAAGCAGAUGUGGGCCCCUUCGGGCUCGGUUGGAGUGAAGCCAGAGGCCUGGGGGCGCUUCGGGGGGCUGGGGCUGGGGCUGCGGUUAGCCCGCCAGGCCCCUGGCCUUCUGCGCCUGCGUCCCCCCUAGAGAGAAGUCAGAGCAAAUUCCAUUCCCUUUGGAGCAGCGCUGCUAGAGGCUGUGGGCACAGCUGGUGCUCUGCAUAUUCAGUGUCACGGAUAAGAAAGAACAUACAAUAUUUGUCUUUUGGGGACUGGCUGCUUUUACUAAUCAUAAUGUUUUUCAACUGGAUCCAUUUAGCUGCAAAGGACAAGAUUUCAUUCUUUUUUAUGUUCUGUCAGAUGUAUCCGGAGACUGUCCUGUGCGAGACACAGGCCUCUGUCCAUGGAUCCUGGGCCUCUACCAUCGUCCCAAAUACUGCACCUCAUCCCAGCACCCCAGUGAUGGAACCAGAGGGAUGCUGCACUCUGCCCCAACCAUCCUGUGUGCCGCCUGCUGGACAAGGGACGGGAGCUUGUCAACCUGGAACCCCCG